rnacentral:lncRNA from 1 species
GUUAUUUUGAGGGGGGCCUGCGGCCGUUUUUGGGCUUAUUUUGGGGAGGAUUCUCUUGUUUUGGGGAGGCUCCGCUGCUGUGUUCAGUCCGGGAAGGGAGCACAAAAUUUUGGGGAGGAUUCCCUUGUUUUGGGGAGGUUCUGCUGCCAUGUUCAGUCCUCGUUUUGAGCUGAAAUUCCCUUAUUUUGGGGAGGCUCCGCUGCAAUUUUGGGUCCUCUCGUUUUGGGGAGGAUUCCCUCAUUUUAGAGAGGCUCUGCUGCUGUUUUCAAGAGGCAAGGGGAGCUCAAAAUUUUGGGGAGAAUUCCUUUAUUCUGGGGCAGCCCCGCUGCUGUUUUCACUCCUCUUAUUUUGGGGAGAAUUCCUCUAUUCUGGGGUCUCUCUGCUGCCGUUUUCACUCCCGUUUUGGGGCAGAUUCCCUCAUUCUGGGGUAUCUCUGCUGCCGUUUUCAGUCCAGGAAGAGAGCUUGAAAAUUUGGGGAGGAUUCUCUUACUUUGAAGAAGGUCUCCUGCCAUUUUCACUUUAAUUUUGGGGAGAAUUCCUUUUAUUCUAGGACGGCCCAGCUGCUGCUUUCACUCCUACUUUGGGGCAGAUUCCCUUGUUCCGGGGCCUCUCUGCUGCCGUUUUCACUCCCGUUUUGGGGCAGAUUCCCUUGUUCUGGGUUCUUUCCGCCGCUAUUUUCCCUCCUCUCAUUUUGGGGCAAAUCCCCUCGUUCCGGGGGGGCCGGGAGGGGCACCUCGAAGGCGUAGGCGAUGAUAUCGGAGCAGCGCAGCAGCGCGGCCACCUGCAGCCCCAGGGGGGUGCACAGGGCGUCCACCUGGAAGGCGAGGGGGGGGGCGUCGGCGGCCGCCACCACGGCCCCCACCCGCCCCCCCUCGUGGAGGGUGAAGCUGACCGGGAGCCCCCGCAUGGCCCCCAGGCUCCGCAGGUAACGGAGCCUCAGGGCCGC